rnacentral:tRNA from 1 species
AGCUCAGUUGGUAGAGCUCUCCACUGAAAAUGGAGAGGUCCCGGGCUCGAUACCCGG